UGCCGCGUGAAGGAUGCGGCCCUAUGGGUUGUAAACUUCUUUUGUACGGGAAAAAACCACCGGUCGUGUAUCGGUGCUGAUGGUACCGUAAGAAUAAGCAUCGGCUAACUCCGUGCCAGCAGCCGCGGUAAUACGGAGGAUGCAAGCGUUAUCCGGAUUCAUUGGGUUUAAAGGGUGCGCAGGCGGAGUGAUAAGUCAGUGGUGAAAGCCUACAGCUUAACUGUAGAACUGCCAUUGAUACUGUCAUUCUUGAGUAUUGUUGAGGUAGGCGGAAUGUGUCAUGUAGCGGUGAAAUGCUUAGAUAUGACACAGAACACCGAUCGCGAAGGCAGCUUACCAA
rnacentral:rRNA from 1 species